rnacentral:lncRNA from 1 species
UGGUGGCAAGCGCCAGUAAUCCCAGCUACUCAGGAGGCGAGUUUAUGUUACUUUGUGUAAACAUAUGCUUUCAUUCCUCUCAGUCAGAGAUACCUAGGAAUAAGAUUGCUGGAUCAAUUUAUCUUUACAUUUUUAUUAAACUUUCCAACUGCUUUCCAAAGUGGCAGGCCCCAUUUUACUUUCCUACCGGCAAUGUGGGAGAGUUUCUGUUUCUCCAUAUUAAAUCCAACUAUGCAUGUUUGAAUGUGAGAGAGACAGAGAAAGAGACAGAAAUGAGACAGACAGAAAGAAUAAUGCUUUAAAUAAUGCAGGGGUUUCUGCCCUCCACUCUGUAAGAACAUAGAACCCAUGGGCUGAAUAGAAGGAGGAGAGGGCACAGCUGUCCUUCCCUCAGCCUGUCUCAAUCCAGGACCUUCACAUUCCCUAUGCUCAGCAUGACUCCAGCAUUUUGUUUUUGUUUUUGUUUUUAAGACAGAGUCUCACUCUGUCACCCAGGCUGGAUUGCAUUGGCACGAUUUCAGCUCAGUGAAGCAUCCACCUCCCGGGUUCAAGCGUUUCUCCUGCUUCAGCCUCCUGAGUAGCUAGGACUACAGGGACGUACCACCACACCUGGCUAAUUUUUUUUGUAUUUUUAGUAGAGAUGGGGGUUUUAGCUUCGUGGUCAGCCUGGUCUCAAAUUCCUGGCCUCAAGUGAU